UAAAAAACGUUGAAGGGGACCAGUAAAUUGGUGCCGCACUCCUGUCCAGAGAGGAAGCCGGUUGGUGAGAGGCUUUCAGGAUGCCCAUUUGAACCUGCCCCGGAGUUCUGUAUCAGAUCGAAGUGAAGAUACAGCGGUAUGUGCCGUUACACAAGAGGAGCGCGGGUGAGUGUCCCGCGAAUGAGGGUGGUACCGCCAGGCCAUGGUCCCUUUU
rnacentral:ncRNA from 2 species